GGAGGGUGCAAGCGUUAUCCGGAUUUACUGGGUUUAAAGGGUGCGUAGGUGGGCAGGUAAGUCAGUGGUGAAAUCUCCGGGCUUAACCCGGAAACUGCCAUUGAUACUAUCUGUCUUGAAUAUCCUGGAGGUGAGCGGAAUAUGUCAUGUAGCGGUGAAAUGCUUAGAUAUGACAUAGAACACCAAUUGCGAAGGCAGCUCGCUACGGGAUUAUUGACACUGAGGCACGAAAGCGUGGGGAUCAAACAGGAUUAGAUACCCUGGUAGUCCACGCCCUAAACGAUGGAUACUCGACAUACGCGAUACACUGUGUGUGUCUGAGCGAAAGCAUUAAGUAUCCCACCUGGGAAGUACGAUCGCAAGAUUG
rnacentral:rRNA from 1 species